UCACCGGGUUUGUAUUCAUCCG
rnacentral:miRNA from 1 species